rnacentral:rRNA from 1 species
GAUUAACGCUGGCGGCAUGCCUUAUGCAUGCAAGUAGAACGAGUGAGUAGCAAUACUCAUUAGUUGCGAACGGCUGAGUAAUGGAUAGGAAUCUCCCUUUUGGCGCGGAAUACCUCAUCGAAAGAUGAGCUAAUACCACAUAAGACCGCAAGGUGAAAGCCCUUUACAGGGCACCGAAAGAUGAGCCUAUCUCCCAUCAGGCUGUUGGUGGGGUAAAAGCCUACCAAGGCGACGAUCUGUAGCGGGUCUGAGAGGAUGAUCCGCCACACUGGGACUGAGACACGGCCCAGACUCCUACGGGAGGCAGCAGUGGGGAAUAUUGGACAAUGGGGGGAACCCUGAUCCAGCCAUGCCGCGUGUGUGAAGAAGGCCUUAUGGUUGUAAAGCACUUUAAGCGAGGAGGAGGCUCUUUUGGUUAAUACCCAAGAUGAGUGGACGUUACUCGCAGAAUAAGCACCGGCUAACUCUGUUACAGCCGCCGCGGUAA